AGAGUUUGAUCCUGGCUCAGAUUGAACGCUGGCGGCAGGCCUAACACAUGCAAGUCGAACGGUAACAGGAAGAAGCUUGCUUCUUUGCUGACGAGUGGCGGACGGGUGAGUAAUGUCUGGGAAACUGCCUGAUGGAGGGGGAUAACUACUGGAAACGGUAGCUAAUACCGCAUAACGUCGCAAGACCAAAGAGGGGGACCUUCGGGCCUCUUGCCAUCGGAUGUGCCCAGAUGGGAUUAGCUUGUUGGUGGGGUAACGGCUCACCAAGGCGACGAUCCCUAGCUGGUCUGAGAGGAUGACCAGCCACACUGGAACUGAGACACGGUCCAGACUCCUACGGGAGGCAGCAGUGGGGAAUAUUGCACAAUGGGCGCAAGCCUGAUGCAGCCAUGCCGCGUGUAUGAAGAAGGCCUUCGGGUUGUAAAGUACUUUCAGCGGGGAGGAAGGGAGUAAAGUUAAUACCUUUGCUCAUUGACGUUACCCGCAGAAGAAGCACCGGCUAACUCCGUGCCAGCAGCCGCGGUAAUACGGAGGGUGCAAGCGUUAAUCGGAAUUACUGGGCGUAAAGCGCACGCAGGCGGUUUGUUAAGUCAGAUGUGAAAUCCCCGGGCUCAACCUGGGAACUGCAUCUGAUACUGGCAAGCUUGAGUCUCGUAGAGGGGGGUAGAAUUCCAGGUGUAGCGGUGAAAUGCGUAGAGAUCUGGAGGAAUACCGGUGGCGAAGGCGGCCCCCUGGACGAAGACUGACGCUCAGGUGCGAAAGCGUGGGGAGCAAACAGGAUUAGAUACCCUGGUAGUCCACGCCGUAAACGAUGUCGACUUGGAGGUUGUGCCCUUGAGGCGUGGCUUCCGGAGCUAACGCGUUAAGUCGACCGCCUGGGGAGUACGGCCGCAAGGUUAAAACUCAAAUGAAUUGACGGGGGCCCGCACAAGCGGUGGAGCAUGUGGUUUAAUUCGAUGCAACGCGAAGAACCUUACCUGGUCUUGACAUCCACGGAAGUUUUCAGAGAUGAGAAUGUGCCUUCGGGAACCGUGAGACAGGUGCUGCAUGGCUGUCGUCAGCUCGUGUUGUGAAAUGUUGGGUUAAGUCCCGCAACGAGCGCAACCCUUAUCCUUUGUUGCCAGCGGUCCGGCCGGGAACUCAAAGGAGACUGCCAGUGAUAAACUGGAGGAAGGUGGGGAUGACGUCAAGUCGUCAUGGCCCUUACGACCAGGGCUACACACGUGCUACAAUGGCGCAUACAAAGAGAAGCGACCUCGCGAGAGCAAGCGGACCUCAUAAAGUGCGUCGUAGUCCGGAUUGGAGUCUGCAACUCGACUCCACGAAGUCGGAAUCGCUAGUAAUCGUGGAUCAGAAUGCCACGGUGAAUACGUUCCCGGGCCUUGCACUCACCGCCCGUCA
rnacentral:rRNA from 1 species